UCUUUUCUCCACCUUUUGCAGUCGUCGCGUCCACCGUUUGCGGCGGGGCGCCGCUGCCGUUUCACCUGCUCCCCGCGUCGCCCUGGGACGGAUGCCUCCACUCUCCAGGGCCGCUCUGACCACCGCGAAGAACGUGUGUCAAUCACAUGCUGGUUGGGAGCCAUCUUAACACCAUCAGGCCAUGGGUGUGGGGGACCUGGGGUGGGCUACAGUGAUCCAGAGCAAUGGUCUCAACUCUCCUAAUAAGACCAGUCUGGGCUGCAGACGGCUUCCUCCCACACACACCGCACCGGUGCCUGAGGAGGAUGAGACUCCCGCAGUCCUCCAGUCCUGCUUGUGACACAGACCUGACCACAGAAAUGAUACUCAUAAUCACUUAUUAUCUUUUUUAAACACUGUGUGGUAACAUCCAAA